CCUGGUGGCUAUAGCGCAGGGGCCACACCUCUUCCCAUCCCGAACAGAGCAGUUAAGUCCUGCAGCGCUGAUGGUACUGUCGCUUCGACGGAAGAGUAGGUCGCCGCCAGGU
rnacentral:rRNA from 1 species